AGGCCAAUAGCCGUACCAGAAAGCUGUCCCCGGGAAAACCGAGACCCAUGCUGACUCUAUUAGAUGAGUGGUUGACGAAGGUCUGAUUUCGCCUUUGAGCAGAACAACAAACAACUAAAGGAAACUGUCCCAUCCCCGCUUCCUACCUCUGAACAGGACGAGCUCAGCUUCCGCUCCCUCACCUGAAAAAAAAAGGGCGAGCCCGGCUCCAGCUCAAUUGACUGACGAAGCCACUUUUCUUUUCCUCUGUAAUCUUUGUACCCGACUGAAACAAAGAAAGGGAUAUGCUAUCCGUGGAGUUGGUUCCGCUUCCACAAAGGGGAUCUGCAAUUGGAUCUUCAACUGCCUCUGCUUCAAUUUGUGAUGAAAGGUCGACUAGUUCUGGAUUGGGGAAGGGAAGUCCACACAAUGCAAGGCUAGUGGUAUCAGUUGAGUGAAUCGGUCAAGCUAAGACCGGAAAACGUGGGUUCCUCAACCAGAAAGAGAUUGUGGGGAGACAAGAUCAGACCAUGUCAGUCAUAAAGAAAUCCAAUCCGGCCAAGACCAGAUGCCAUCGACAUCGGGUCAAGCAGGCCAUGUUCCACCCAU
rnacentral:lncRNA from 1 species